ACAAAGAGAAACUUAAAUUGAAAAAGAAAAGAAAAAGGUCUGAUUCAUCUAGUUCUACUGAAGAAGAUACUUCAAAACAAAAGAAACAGAAAUCCCAGAAGAAGGAAAAGAAAAGGGAGAAAAAAAGCAAAACAAAAAAAGGAAAACAUCACAAAAAGGAGAAAAAGAAGCGAAAAAAGGAAAAACAUUCUUCAUCUUCUGAUAGUUCAGACUCUUCUAGUAGUAACUGAGACAUCCACUCGUUCUGCUGACAUUUUAUAUUUAAGAGAUUUGCUUCAGUAAUUAUGCUUUGUAUUAAACUCACACCUUCCAAGCAAGCAUUCCUCCAUGUACAAGGCCAACACCGCUCUUGACCUACCUGGGUUGUGACUAUGAAGUACUAAGGAUUAUUAUAAAGUUUAGGAGUCAGUCUUGUUAGGGACAUAUCUUAUUCAUUCUCCUUAAUAUGUUUUUCUUUGCUAUUAGCAUUGCUUUAGAAAUUUAUUGUAAAGUGUCAUCACGAAAGACAAAGAAAGAACUAUCUGUACAAGUAGCCUACCUGAUUGUCGAUGCUAUUACCAAAUGUCUGUCCACCUUCCCAGGGAGCAAAUCUAGGAAGUGAAACAUUUCUUUGGGAAGCAGAUCCUUCCAGACAUUCAGCAUCUUCCCAAAAAAACCACAGCAAAAUCAAGUAGCCUUAUAUUCUAUUAUGUAAGUAAUAAUAUAUUGUUUUUAUAGGACCAGGCUUUUUGAAUGUUAGACAGGAAUAACAUUGCCUUAUGGGUCUUUUUUCUUUAGAGAAAUGGAAUGUACAGAAAAGUACUAAAUGCAGGAGCCUUGUUCCAAGUUUUACUCUUAUAUGAAAAAAAGUUCUUAGUAACUGCCUAGUGUGGGUUUUUCCCCCUAGUAGUUGUAGUAUUUUUUUUUCUCUUUAAAGACCAGUCUAUUUUGAGCAUUUAUUCCUAGCAUUGCUGCUCUACUUAAGACUUAAAGAUAAUAUUCUGUUGAUCAGUAUUUUUAGCAGUGACAGCUGUAUGGUUUUGUAGAUGUGCCACAUUGGCAUAUUUAAAAGUGAUACCUCAGAUAUCAACAUCUGUAUUCUGGGGGAAGAUGGAACCUUCAUUAGGGUUUUUUUUUUUCAAUCAGAUAAAAUAUCAAAAUUUUAUGAUGCUUGUUACUAUUAGAGUAGUACAGAAAUUUUUAUAAAUUUGAAAUUAUAUACUGUAUUUUGUCAAAUAAUUUUUAAAUGCUUUUGAAACAUUUGACAUUAAUUCUCAUGCUUUCUUAAGUGGCCAGUUGGGGCAGAAGAAGGAAUUUGAUUUUUACUUUGUCAUAAUCUUUAGCAGAUGCAUAAAAUAGUUUUAAUUAAGUUAUCGAUGAAGAAAGACUGAAGAUCUUGACCCUGCCAUCUGUUUGGAAAAUUAAAAGCUACAGAGUAUUAUUAGAAAUAAUUUGUCUUCAUUGGCUAUGACCUUACAUUUUUCAAAUAAAAAUUAUAUGUUUGAGCAUUCCCAGUUAUAAACUAGCAGACUUAGAUAACCUGUCCUAUAUUUUUUUUCUUUAAUAAUGGCCAACAUUCUUUGUGGUUAUGAUCAAUAAAUUAAAGAUUUAUCAGAUUGUA